GCUUCAAGUUCAUAUAGAGUGCUACCUAUUUUAGAAAUCCUGUUAACAUUUCACGGUUUAAUUUCAGAUCGUGAGAACCAGUCUGUCCUGAUUACUGGAGAAUCUGGUGCAGGAAAGACUGUGAACACAAAACGUGUCAUUCAGUACUUUGCAACUGUCGCGAUGUCUGGUGCAAA